rnacentral:rRNA from 1 species
CCUACGGGAGGCAGCAGUGAGGAAUAUUGGUCAAUGGACGAGAGUCUGAACCAGCCAAGCAGCGUGAAGGAUGAAUGCCCUAUGGGUUGUAAACUUCUUUUAUAUGGGAAUAAAAUGUUCCACGUGUGGGAUUUUGUAUGUACCAUAUGAAUAAGGAUCGGCUAACUCCGUGCCAGCAGCCGCGGUAAUACGGAGGAUCCGAGCGUUAUCCGGAUUUAUUGGGUUUAAAGGGAGCGUAGGUGGAUUGUUAAGUCAGUUGUGAAAGUUUGCGGCUCAACCGUAGAAUUGCAGUUGAAACUGGCAGUCUUGAGUACAGUAGAGGUGGGCGGAAUUCGUGGUGUAGCGGUGAAAUGCGUAGAUAUAACGAAGAACACCGAUGGCGAAGGCAGUUCACUGGACUGCAACUGACGCUGAGGCUCGAAAGUGUGGGUAUCAAACAGGAUUAGAUACCCGAGUAGUC